GGUGGCGUCCCUACUCAGGUUCUACCGUCAGGUCUGCGAGUACUAACUUCACGUACCCGCGGAAAAAAAUCCUAAAGAAAAAAUUAGAAAGUGAAAAAAUCUAAAAGAAUGCCUAUUGGCUGUGGGGAAUUGCAUUCUUUACGGCCGUCCCCACACGGCGCUAUCUAACAAUGAACGUACGUAGUGGAAAAUAUUGAGAAGUAUUUUUCUAACAAAGAUUUUCAUUUUUCAUGAACUCAAACAAGUUUUCCUUCCAGGAACUCAAUCUGCAGUCCAUACGGAGGUUCCUGUUAGAUGAGAGGGAGGUUAAGGAGUGCGUCACCUGCAACCGCCUCCGGUGCAGGUGCCCUCAAGCCACGCAAAGUCAUAGGAGCCGCUUUCCUGAACUUGAUCCAGUUCUGGAGAGACACUAUGACGAUCUUCUGAGGUGGGUGCAGGAAUCACACCCAUGGAUUACCCUCGCUCGAUUAAUAACGAGAUCAACCGGUUGUGGCUGGCGCAUCCGAACUCCAUCUCGAAUCAACGUCUACAGGAGGAACCAUCACCAGUGGCGUCCCUACUCAGGUUCUUCCAACCAAUCUACGAGGACUACCUUCACAUACCCGCGGAAAAAAAUCCUAAAGAAAAAGUAAGAAAGUGAAAAAAUCUACAUGAAUACCUAUUGGCAGUGGGGAAUUGCAUUCUUUACGGCCUUUCCCAUACGGUACUAUCCAACAGUGUACGUUGGAAAAAAACAAAUAUAAACAUCACAUUUUCAAAACGUCAGCAUAAAAUCUCCUCUACACGGUUACUAAUGAACCAAAGAUCACAUGGACGGCAUCCGAAAGUUGGCAGUUAGGGACAGGAGCAGAGUUCCCUCAGGCUAGCUCCUCGAUCAAUUACAACAAAGUCAUCCUACGACGAUCUUUUGAGAUGGGUGCUGGAAUCACACCCAUGGAUAACCCACACUUAAUCAACAACGAGAUCCACCCGUCAUGGCUGGCGCAUCCAAAAUGCAUAUGGUAUCAACCCCCAAAGACCUCCUGAAUUUAUUUCUGUUUUACAGAGUCAGUUAACAACGAGAUAAAUAAUGUCGUGGUCGGCCCACCACCAAUCGAUCUGGUACUAACCCCCCUGGAAGGGACCCUCACCAGUGGUGUCCCUACUCAGGUUCUACCGUCAGGUCUGCGAGUACUAACUUCUCGUACCCGCGGAAAAUAAUCCUGAAGAAAAAAUAAGUAAGUGAAAAAUCUACAGGAAUUCCUAUUGGCAGUGGGGAAUUGCAUUCUUUACGGCCGUCCCCAUACGGCACUAUCUAACAAUGUACGUACGUAGUGGAAAAUAUUGACAAGUAUUUGUCUAAAUGAACAAAGAUUUUCAUUUCAUGAACUCAAACCAAGUUUUCUUUCUAAGAAUUCAAUCUGCAGGAUAUACGGAGGUUCCUGUUAGAUGAGAUGAGGUUAAGGAGUUCGUCACCUACAACCGCCUCCGGUGCAGAUGUGUUCCAAGCUCGCCCCAGCCUUCCACCUCCGGGGCGAGACAAGGGUUCCCCCAGGCUCCACCGCCUGAAGCACUGCCCAGGCCACGCAGGGCGAAUUUUGAAAUCAUAGGAGACACUCUCCAGAACCUUAUCCAGUUCUGGAGAACUACUCAGGUGGGUGCAGGAAUCACACCCAUUGAUUACCCACACUCGAUUAACAUAGAGAUCAACCUGUUGAGGCCGGCGCAUCCGAACUCCAUAUGGUAUCAAGUUAUCAACCCCCACGGUACUCCAGAUUUUAUUUCUGUCUUACAGAGUCAGUUAACAACGAGAUAAAUAUGUCGUGGCCGGCGCACCACUUAUCGAUCUGGUACCAACCCCUACAGUAGGAACCCUCACCGGUGGCGUCCCUACUCAGGUUCUAGCGUCAGGUCUGCGAGUACCAACUUCACGUACCCGCGGAAAAUAAUCCUGAAGAAAAAAUAAGUAAGUGGAAAUUAAAAAUAAGAAUUCCUAUUGACAGUGGGGAAUUGCAUUCUUUACGGCCGUCCCCACACGGCACUAUCUAACAAUAUACGUAUGUAGUGGAAAAUAUUGAGAAGUAUUUGUGUAAAUGAACAAAGAUUUUCAUUUCAUGAACUCAAACCAAGUUUUCUUUCCAGAAACUCAAUCUGCAGGAUAUACGGAGGUUCCUGUUAGAUGAGAGGUUGGUUGAUGAGAGAUGAGAGGGAGGUUAA